UGACCUCGGAUCAGGUAGGGAUACCCGCUGAACUUAAGCAUAUCAAUAAGCGGAGGAGGUUGGUUCCAAAAGGGAUUCCCCUAGUAAUGGCGAACGAAGAGGGAACAGCCCAUCCUUAAAUCGUGUUGGUUAAACCGGCAUGAGAUGUGGGGUGAAGGUGGUACUCCUGGGUGUAGCAUGAACAAAAUCGUUUUUAGACAACUCAUUCCUUUGGGAUGCAAUACAAGGUGAUAGCCCUGUUUAUCGUUCAUGUGUCGUAUGACUCUACAUUCAACUGCGAGUGCUUCCUACGAGUAGGAUUGUUUAAAAGUACAAUCUGAAUAAGGGAGAUAAACUUCUUCCAAGGCUAAAUACUAAUACAAGAGACCAAUAGCGAACAAGUACUGUAAAGGAAAGUUGAAAAGUACACUGUUAAGUGGGUGAAAAAGCGUCUGAAAUUAUGAAGAAUUAAGCGUAAUCAGCGCACUAUAGGAGACUAGAGGCUCAAUACGGUCUUCGGAUCGUACUACUCCUCUAGUUCGAUCAACGUCGUUCUACUUUAGUGUAGAACGUUCAACUGAAGGAAAACCAACUUAAGGGUAUGUCGUCAAAUUCUUGGUGACACCCUGGUUUCAUUCCUGUAGAGCUCUGCUUUAUAGGGUGUGCUAGGGUUAAUUGAGUUUUGGCGGCAUAUCUAAUGUAAGAGUUUUUUUCCUCAACGUUGAUUCAAAUGGUGGCUGAAACCGACCCGUCUUGAAACACGGACCAAGGAGUAAAGCGUAUGUGCAAGCAGAAGCCAUUGAAAUGGUGUAUGCAUAAUGAAAGUAAGCUAGUAUUAAUAGUAAUAUGAUAUACUGACCAAUCCAGUAUUUCAGUGAGCAUGUCGAUCUGAAAGUGGAAUUGAGUUAGAGUAUAUAUGCUUUGACCCGAAAGAUGGUGAUCUAUACUUGAAUUGGCUGAAGUCAGAGGAAACUCUGAUGGAGGGUCUCGAACGGUGCUGACGUGCAAAUCGCUUGUCAGACUUGAGUAUAGGGGCGAAAGACUCAUCGAACCAUCUAGUAGCUGGUUCCUUCCGAAAUAUCCCUCAGGAUAGCUAGAGUCUAUAUUAG
rnacentral:ncRNA from 1 species